GACAGAGGUGCCAAGCGUUAGGCGGAAUCACUGGGCUUAAAGCGUGUGUAGGUGGAAGCGUAAGUACCUUGUGAAAUCCCACGGCUUAACCGUGGAACUGCUUGGUAUACUGCGUUUCUUGAGCCAACUAGGGGCUAUCGGAACAAGUGGUGAGCGGUGAAAUGCGUAGAUAUCACUUGGAACGCCAAUGGUGAAAAACAGAUAGCUGGGGGUUGUGCUGACACUGAGACACGAAAGCCAGGGAGCAAACGGG
rnacentral:rRNA from 1 species